rnacentral:rRNA from 1 species
UAGGCGUACGGGUGAGUAACACGUGGAUAAUCUGCCUUUUAGUGGGGAAUACCGUUGGGAAACCGACGACAAUACCGCAUAAGCUCGAGAGAGGAAAGCAGCAAUGCGCUGAAAGAGGAGUCCGCGGUCGAUUAGUUAGUUGGCAGGGUAAAAGCCUACCAAGACUGUGAUCGAUAGCCGGCCUGAGAGGGCACACGGCCACACUGGCACUGAAACACGGGCCAG